AGAGGGCUCGAGCGUUAAUCGGAAUCACUGGGCUUAAAGGGUGCGCAGGCGGAUCAGUAAGUGUCUUGUGAAAUCCCACGGCUCAACCGUGGAAUGGCUUGGCAGACUGCUGAUCUUGAGCCCGGCAGGGGCCGUCGGAACGCUAGGUGGAGCGGUGAAAUGCGUAGAUAUCUAGCGGAACGCCAAAGGUGAAGACAGACGGCUGGGCCGGCGCUGACGCUCAGGCACGAAAGCGUGGGGAGCGAACGGGAUUAGAUACCCCGGUAGUCCACGCCCCUAAACGAUGUGCACUAGGUCGAGGAGGUUUUGACGCCAUCUCGGCCGUAGUUAAAACAUUAAGUGCACCGCCUGGGAGUACGGUCGCAAGGCUA
rnacentral:rRNA from 1 species